UACGUAGGGGGCUAGCGUUGUUCGGAAUUACUGGGCGUAAAGCGCGCGUAGGCGGUGAUCUUUGUCAGAGGUGAAAUCCCGAGGCUCAACUUCGGAAUUGCCUUUGAAACGGGAUUGCUUGAGUCCGAGAGAGGAUGGCGGAAUUCCUAGUGUAGAGGUGAAAUUCGUAGAUAUUAGGAAGAACACCGGUGGCGAAGGCGGCCAUCUGGCUCGGUACUGACGCUCAGGCGCGAAAGCGUGGGGAGCAAACAGG
rnacentral:rRNA from 1 species